rnacentral:rRNA from 1 species
AUUGAACGCUGGCGGCAGGCUUAACACAUGCAAGUCGAGCGAGCGGCGGACGGGUGGGUAAUGUCUGGGAAACUGCCUGAUGGAGGCGGAUAACUACUGGAACCGGUAGCUAAUACCGCAUACCAUCAGAUGUGCCCCGAUGGGAUUAGCUAGUAGGUGGGGUAAUGGCUCACCUAGGCGACGAUCCCUAGCUGGUCUGGGAGGCUGACAACCGACACUGGAACUGGGACACGGUCCAUACGCCUACGGGAGGCAGCAGUGGGGAAUAUGAGACAAUGGGGGCAAGCCUGAUGCAGCCGUGGCGCGUGUGUUAAGAAGGCCUUCGGGUUGUAAAGCACGUUCAGCGAGGAGGCGUUACUCGCAGAAGAAGCACCGGCUAACUCCGUGCCAGCAGCCGCGGUAAUAC